rnacentral:sRNA from 1 species
AAAAUAAUGUGUUUUUCUGAAAUAGUAUGAUAUAUUUAUAAAAUGCAUGCAAUUCUCUUAUAAAACACGA